GACGAACGCUGGCGGCGUGCCUAAGACAUGCAAGUCGAGCGGGGCUUCGGGGCUUCGGCCCUGAAGCCUAGCGGCGGACGGGUGAGUAACACGUGGAUAACCUGCCCUCUGCUCUGGGAUAACAGGCCGAAAGGCCUGCUAAUACCGGAUAAGCUCACGGUCCCGCAUGGGGCUGGGAGAAAAGGCGCUGGAGUCAGUGGCGCUGGCAGAGGAGGGGUCCGCGGCCCAUUAGCUGGUUGGCGGGGUAACGGCCCACCAAGGCGACGAUGGGUAGCCGGCCUGAGAGGGCGACCGGCCACACUGGGACUGAGACACGGCCCAGACUCCUACGGGAGGCAGCAGUCGGGAAUUUUGCACAAUGGGCGAAAGCCUGAUGCAGCAACGCCGCGUGAGCGAAGAAGGCCUUCGGGCUGUAAAGCUCUGUUGCCUGCGAAGAAGGGCCCCGUCAGGAAAUGGGCGGGGUUUGACGGUAGCAGGCGAGGAAGCCCCGGCAAACUACGUGCCAGCAGCCGCGGUAAUACGUAGGGGGCGAGCGUUGUCCGGAAUUACUGGGCGUAAAGGGCGUGUAGGCGGCCUGUUAAGUCAGGGGUGAAAGACCGGGGCUCAACCCCGGGGGUGCCUCUGAAACUGGCGGGCUUGAGUGCUCUAGAGGGCAGUGGAAUUCCCGGUGUAGCAGUGAAAUGCGUAGAGAUCGGGAGGAACACCAGUGGCGAAGGCGGCUGCCUGGGGAGUCACUGACGCUGAGGCGCGAAAGCUAGGGGAGCAAACAGGAUUAGAUACCCUGGUAGUCCUAGCCGUAAACGAUGAGUGCUAUGUGUGAGGGGUAUCGACCCCCCUCGUGCAGGAGCUAACGCACUAAGCACUCCGCCUGGGGAGUACGGCCGCAAGGUUGA
rnacentral:rRNA from 1 species